CGGCGGCAUCUGAUCGUGCAGUCGACGGUGAGCCAAGCUUGCUUGGUGGAUCAGUGGCGAACGGGUGAGAAACACGUGGGCAACCUGCCCUGAACUCUGGGAUAAGCGCUGGAAACGGUGUCUAAUACUGGAUAUGAGCUGCGGAGGCAUCUUCGUGGUUGGAAAGAUUUUUCGGUUUGGGAUGGGCUCGCGGCCUAUCAGCUUGUUGGUGAGGUAAUGGCUCACCAAGGCGUCGACGGGUAGCCGGCCUGAGAGGGUGACCGGCCACACUGGGACUGAGACACGGCCCAGACUCCUACGGGAGGCAGCAGUGGGGAAUAUUGCACAAUGGGCGGAAGCCUGAUGCAGCAACGCCGCGUGAGGGAUGACGGCCUUCGGGUUGUAAACCUCUUUUAGCAGGGAAGAAGCGUGAGUGACGGUAUCUGCAGAAAAAGCGCCGGCUAACUACGUGCCAGCAGCCGCGGUAAUACGUAGGGCGCAAGCGUUAUCCGGAAUUAUUGGGCGUAAAGAGCUCGUAGGCGGUUUGUCGCGUCUGCUGUGAAAACCCGAGGCUCAACCUCGGGCCUGCAGUGGGUACGGGCAGACUAGAGUGCGGUAGGGGAGAUUGGAAUUCCUGGUGUAGCGGUGGAAUGCGCAGAUAUCAGGAGGAACACCGAUGGCGAAGGCAGAUCUCUGGGCCGUAACUGACGCUGAGGAGCGAAAGGGUGGGGAGCAAACAGGCUUAGAUACCCUGGUAGUCCACCCCGUAAACGUUGGGAACUAGUUGUGGGGGUCCAUUCCACGGAUUCCGUGACGCAGCUACGCAUUAAGUUCCCCGCCUGGGGAGUACGGCCGCAAGGCUAAAACUCAAAGGAAUUGACGGGGACCCGCACAAGCGGCGGAGCAUGCGGGAUUAAUUCGAUGCAACGCGAAGAACCUUACCAAGGCUUGACAUACACGAGGAACGCUGCAGAAAUGUAGAACUCUUUGGGACACUCGUGAACAGGUUGGUUGCCAUGGUUGUCGUCAGCUCGUGUCGUUGAGAAUGGUUGGGGUUAAGUCCCGCACCGAGCGCAAUCCCCCUCGGUUCCUAAUGGUUUGGGC
rnacentral:rRNA from 1 species